rfam:Picoides pubescens contig29991, whole genome shotgun sequence.
UAUCAGUCUAGUGGAAUCACUUCUGCACAAACUUGACUACUUGAAUCAGUGUGCGGAAAUGCUUCUGCUACAUUUUUA